UGUCGUCAGCUCGUGUUGUGAAAUGUUGGGUUAAGUCCCGCAACGAGCGCAACCCUUAUCCUUUGUUGCCAGCGGUUAGGCCGGGAACUCAAAGGAGACUGCCAGUGAUAAACUGGAGGAAGGUGGGGAUGACGUCAAGUCAUCAUGGCCCUUACGACCAGGGCUACACACGUGCUACAAUGGCGCAUACAAAGAGAAGCGACCUCGCGAGAGCAAGCGGACCUCAUAAAGUGCGUCGUAGUCCGGAUUGGAGUCUGCAACUCGACUCCAUGAAGUCGGAAUCGCUAGUAAUCGUGGAUCAGAAUGCCACGGUGAAUACGUUCCCGGGCCUUGUACACACCGCCCGUCACACCAUGGGAGUGGGUUGCAAAAGAAGUAGGUAGCUUAACCUUCGGGAGGGCGCUUACCACUUUGUGAUUCAUGACUGGGGUGAAGUCGUAACAAGGUAACCGUAGGGGAACCUGCGGUUGGA
rnacentral:rRNA from 2 species